GACGAACGCUGGCGGCGUGCCUAAUACAUGCAAGUCGAACGAGGGGCGGACGGGUGAGUAACACGUGGGAACCUACCCAUCAGAGGGGGAUAACCCUUGGAAACAGGUGCUAAUAACGCAUACUGAUGGAUGGACCCGUGUGGCAUUAGCUAGUUGGUGGGGUAAAGGCUCACCAAGGCGACGAUACAUAGCUGGUCUGAGAGGGUGAUCGGCCACACUGGGACUGAGACACGGUCCAGACUCCUACGGGAGGCAGCAGUGGGGAAUAUUGCACAAUGGGCGAAAGCCUGAUGCAGCCAUGCCGCGUGUGUGAAGAAGGCCUUCGGGUUGUAAAGCACUUUCAGCGAGGAGGCGUUACUCGCAGAAGAAGCACCGGCUAACUCCGUGCCAGCAGCCGCGGUAAUAC
rnacentral:rRNA from 1 species